AUUGAACGCUGGCGGCAGGCCUAACACAUGCAAGUCGAACGAGUGGCGGACGGGUGAGUAAUGUCUGGGAAACUGCCUGGUGGAGGGGGAUAACUACUGGAGACGGUAGCUAAUACCGCAUACCAUCAGAUGUGCCCAGAGGGGAUUAGCUUGUUGGUGGGGUAACGGCUCACCAAGGCGACGAUCCCUAGCUGGUCUGAGAGGAUGACCGGCAACACUGGAAUGGGGACACGGUCAAGAUCCCAACGGGGGGCAGCAGUGGGGAAUAUUGCACAAUGGGCGCAAGCCUGAUGCAGCCAUGCGCGGUGUAUGAAGAAGGCCUCCGGGUUGUAAAGUCCUUUCAUCGGGGAGGCGUUACCCGAAGAAGAAGCACCGGCUAACUCCGUGCCAGCAGCCGCGGUAAUUC
rnacentral:rRNA from 1 species